rnacentral:rRNA from 1 species
UAGGGAAUCUUCGGCAAUGGACGAAAGUCUGACCGAGCAACGCCGCGUGAGUGAAGAAGGUUUUUCGGAUCGUAAAACUCUGUUGGUAGAGAAGAACGUUGGUGAGAGUGGAAAGCUCAUCAAGUGACGGUAACUACCCAGAAAGGGACGGCUAACUACGUGCCGG